rfam:Oryza barthii chromosome 3, whole genome shotgun sequence.
AAAAAAGCAAACCCUAGGUUUCCGUGUCCAACUUUGACUGUUCGUCUUAUAUGAAAUUUUUUUAUAAUUCGUAUUUUCAUUGUUAGAUGAUAAAACAUAAUUAAUAUUUUAUGCGUAACUUGUCUUUUUAAUUUUUUACAUAAUUUUUCAAAUAAGAUGGACGGUCAAACGUUGUAAACGGAAAUCAGGGUUUAUCUUUUU